rnacentral:rRNA from 1 species
AACGAACGCUGGCGGCAGGCCUAACACAUGCAAGUCGAACGAGAAGCCACCUUCGGGUGGUGGAAAGUGGCAGACGGGUGAGUAACGCGUGGGAACGUGCCUUUCGGUUCGGGAUAACCCAGGGAAACUUGGGCUAAUACCGGAUACGCCCUCCGGGGGAAAGAUUCAUUGCCGAAAGAUCGGCCCGCGUCGGAUUAGCUAGUUGGUAGGGUAAUGGCCUACCAAGGCGACGAUCCGUUGCUGGUCUGAGAGGAUGACCAGCCACACUGGGACUGGGACACGGCCCAGACUCCUACGGGAGGCAGCAGUGGGGAAUAUUGGACAAUGGGCGAAAGCCUGAUCCAGCCAUGCCGCGUGGGUGAAGAAGGCCUUAGGGUUGUAAACCCCUUUCAGCGGGGAAGAUAAUGACGGUACCCGCAGAAGAAGUCCCGGCUAACUCCGUGCCAGCAGCCGCCGCUGUAA